AUGCUAUUUUCCAAGCAGAUGUCAAUGAAGGAAACUAAUCUCACUUUAUCUCAGAUUUUUGCACUUUCAGAUGGUUAUUCAAUCCGUGAAUUAUGGGACGGUCCGUAUCCACAUUAUCCCAAGGGAAUCCCUCUGAAAGAAUGUGACCUCUUUGCUCUUGAAGGUUUAUUUCUUGUGAAGAGGACUCAUUUCUUCUCUAAAGAGGCAAUCUUUUCUUGCAACAGCCACUCAAGCAUUAUGAUCUUACCAUGGCUUGACCCUUUUGGAAACACUGAAAUGUGAAAAAGGGCACUUGGAUCCCAUGGUGAUGAGCAGGCUUAAAAGCACUUUGGUAGAUCAAAAAGGCUGAGUUGCUGAGUUUUGUUGCUUCUGUUGGGAUUUUUUGUUUCAUUUAACCUGUAGUGUCAACACAGCCAAAACUCUGAAAGGCAAACAAGACCGAAAAAGCCUGUUGGGAAACGACCUGAAACUGUUGUUGGCACCACACUUUAAAAGCAAGUUUUUUUACUGUCUGCAAAGCAGCCACUGUAGAUCACUAUCCUUGUGUUUUAACUGGUGCAAUGCUGAAGAUUCCUCUGAACAGUGGUAUUUCACGUAGAAAAAGAAAAUCCAAGAAAACUCUUACUUUAGACCUGAGGUUCUGAUUUUUUUAAUAGCAGGAAUUUUUCCUCUUCUGAUUUUGAAACCAGGGAAAAAUUGCAUCACAGGGCCUGACUCUUUCAUCAGAAACUUCAAAUCAAUUAUAAGGCAUGCUUAAAGGACUUCAGAAGUGCUUCAGAGAAUCCUGAUUAUUUUCCUAAUGCAUUUACUAUUUUUUAAACCAACAUCACUAAGAAAGGAAAAAAUCAGUAUCUUCACCGCUGACAGGAAAACUGCAUAGUCCCUUGAUUCUGGGAAGAGGAAAAGAGGGAAAAAAAGAAAAUACAAGUGAAUUGGUUGUCUGCUAUGCAACAAUUGCAUUAUAAAAAGAAAAAAAGGAAUGAGAAAGACAAAGACAUUAUAAACCUACAAAAGAAACAAAGUUUAGAAUACCCUCUCUUGACCUUUAUUAUCCAGGCACAAAGCAUAAGUUUCUCAAUGUCCAAUUCUUGCUAAACUUAAUCUAUACACUGUCUCCCAUUUUCCCUCUAGGGAAUGCAAUGCCAAACGAACACACGGUGUUCUCACAUUAAAAUGUUCUAUCAGUGUUGCUGUGGGCUGCAGAGGAUAUUAAGUCAGCGAGUCCCCUUGCUGCUCUACCCUGGAAAAGAGGCCAAAGUUCAACAGUUUCGUUAAUUCAUUCAGGAAGAGAGGAAAGUAAAAACAAACCAAGUAUUUGUUUUCAUUGAUUGUCCAGGCUUCAUUGGUUGUCCAGACAACCAACUCACUUGGUUGUCUUUCCCUUUUUCCUUCUUUUCCCCUUCCCAAAAUCAAGAGAUUAUGGACUUCUACUGUCAGUAAUAAAGACACUGACAAUACUUAAAUCA
rnacentral:lncRNA from 1 species